AACGAACGCUGGCGGCAGGCUUAACACAUGCAAGUCAAGCGCCCCGCAGGGGGAGCGGCAGACGGGUGAGUAACGCGUGGGAAUCUACCCAUCUCUACGGAAUAACGCAUGGAAACGUGUGCUAAUACCGUAUACGUCCUUCGGGAGAAAGAUUUAUCGGAGAUGGAUGAGCCCGCGUUGGAUUAGCUAGUUGGUGGGGUAAAGGCCUACCAAGGCGACGAUCCAUAGCUGGUCUGAGAGGAUGAUCAGCCACACUGGGACUGAGACACGGCCCAGACUCCUACGGGAGGCAGCAGUGGGGAAUAUUGGACAAUGGGCGCAAGCCGGAGCCAGCCAUGCCGCGUGAGUGAUGAAGGCCCUAGGGUUGUAAAGCUCUUUCACCGGUGAAGAUAAUGACGGUAACCGGAGAAGAAGCCCCGGCUAACUUCGUGCCAGCCGCCGCCGUAAUAC
rnacentral:rRNA from 1 species